ensembl:lncRNA
CAAACAUCCUGCAGAAUCCUCCAGCAUUUCUCAACAGCCUUCCCUGCUCUCUUCCCCCCUGCCAGGUUGUGAGUACAACUCCAACAGCCCCCGGAUCCUUGGAGAGCUGCCCACAGAAGGCAGAGCAGAUGGUGUUUGCGGCAGUGGACGUUUCCUGUGCUGUUGUAACAGAACGGCCUGGUCUAGCCAGGAAGCAGAAGUGGAAGAUGCAGUCUGGUCUUGCUGAGGCUGCCUUGCUUUGCAGACCUGACCUGAGAUCCUGGAUCACAAAUGAUCUCUUGCUUUCUCAAGUAUCGGAUGUUUGUUUUUUUUUUCCCCCUUUUUUUCCUCCAUGUUCAACCCAUGAGCUGAAGAGCUGCCAUGCCUUGCUGCAGCCAGCAGCUUCUGUCACUGCAGCACUCACAGCAGCCUCCUGGGGCUCGGUGCCCGCAGAUGUGCUGUGUGAUGCAAUGUGAACUUCACAUCACCUUCACGGAAAGACUGAAACGCAUCUAAACUGGAGCUCACCCGGUGUCACUGCCUUAGGCUGAACAGAGCACUGCUACAUCUGUCCUAGCUGUGAACUUCCAGCCUGAAAAGCCUCACGGGUGGUGAAAUGGUGCCCUGACUGAGUGAGCUGUGGUGGGAGCUUUCAGCUGGUAUUGCUUCUGCACACCAAGAAGGGGCAGCUGCACAUCCAUCAGGCUUAGUGCUGUCAGACCAGGUUGAGAUUGCUGAGUGCUGCAGUGGAUGCAUUUGAGACAAAUCUCAGGUGAGGGAGAGAGGAAAUGCAUAUGGCCUCACUGCCUCCCUGGAGCCAGCACUGUGACUGCUCCCUGGAGAGCAGCUCCCUGACUGCAUCAGCUCCCCGAGCAGCUCUGCUCCUUCUCCUCCCAGCAGCCAGAAACUGCCUACGUCAGCUUUUACCUUCCGAUGGAAACCGGCUGAGCAACAGCAAUGGGGAGCGACCCAUGGGCACUACGUGCUGCUGCAAGCUCUGUCCCACACCCGGGCAAGCCUGGGGUAUGAACCUCUGUGCUUCAGGAGCUGCAUUCCCCUGCCAGCUCUGCAAGCCACCUGGUGCCAAAGGAUUGCAUCCGCGUGAUAAAUCCCAUUGCUGUUCUGCUCAGGAAGUAAUCUGGUGAACCAGGAAAGAGAACGUUGCUUGCUACCAGCCUUCUUUCCAAGCAAUUGCACAACACUGCUCCGGGGUUAGCAAACUGCAGACAUCUGGGAGCAAUCGAUGCUGUUUAGGCUCUGAGAAAGCACAAGAGAAAGUUAGAAGGAAGCAACUUGAAAGCUCAGCAUUGUUAAAAGCAGUCUGGAAACCCUGGAAAUCCACAAGAGGGUAAUGCCUACAAACAGCCCGGAGGCAGAAGGAAUGAGAAGGACGACGGGAACAGCAGCCUCCACAGGAGCCUUGGAAAUGGUUAAAGAUGUGGGGAGCCACAUCUUCUGUGACAACCUGCCCCCCCCCCAGCACCCCCAUAAAUGAGAAACCUCAUCAGCCUCGCGCUAUUAGUGCUACGCAGCAUUAAAGUCUCUCAUUUGGGAUAAACAUUCUCAUCUCCAGCAGAGCAUGAAUAACAUUAAAUGAGAUAGUUAAAAUGUUUCAGGCCAAUUAUAGCCCCGGUGUAAGUUGGGCAGAGUUGCACCAGGGAUUAAUUUGAUGCGGAGAGCUCUGCCUCCUGUUCCGAGCCGGGAUUCCAGUGCGGGUAAUUACAUCCUGCCUCUGCGCUUCCUCUGCAGUUUUAAUUGGGUUGAAUGGACCAAAUCCGCAGCAAGUGUAAAUCUAUGUAAUUGAGCUCUCUCUGGAGAGGAACCCUGCUGCUUUACACCCUCCAAUCUGGGCCAGCGCUCUUCCCUUCCUCCCUGCCGGGCUCCAGCUGCCCAAAGCUGGCUGCCACCCCACGAAGGGCUCCCAUUCUGCCCUUGGAUGAAAGUCAAUGCUUUCCCAAGCUGCCUUGGACAGCCCGGAGCCCAACCCCUGCAUUGGUGCAGGUGAGGCCCGCAGGGUCCCCGUCUGCUUUUGCGUGCGCUGUGCCUUCUGCUGGGAAACAGCCCCGUUAAGCGGCCUCCUCCCCAUCGCCUGUCCGUGUCCCAUCCCAGAUCCAGGCUCCAGCACACAGAGCAGGCAGCUGGACCGUCUCCCUCUCCCACUUCCCAACCCGCUGAGUAAAUCAGCAGUAAUGAGGGACAUUUGACCCUCUCUUUCCCCGAACAGCCUCGAGAAGCAUUUUUCUUCCAUGAGGUACUUAAGAAGCUUGAAGUGCUUUCCUCCUCCUGCUUCUAUUGUAGCUUUGCUUUCCUUGAUUUUGUUUGCUUGUUUGUUUUUCUCUCCUAGGAAAGGACAAGAUAUGGGACGCAAGGAACCUUCAGGAUGCCUUGGGAAUGGAGGGGAUGCAGCCAGUUUGGGUCCUGUCUCUUUUGGUCCAGCAGAAAACCGUGUGUGCGAUCAGAGCUGGGAAAGUGCUCCUGCUGGCUGUAAUUAGGGAUGUCAUUGCAAAGCAUUAUCUCACAGAGCUGGAGCCUAUACAGAGCCAUACGUCCUCCGUAGCCAAUUGUGCACGGAGGUGAUGGGAGAGGGAAGGGUGCUGGGAACGCUCUCCCUCACUCAUUUCCAGGACGUUCUGCUGCUGUGUGGUCCCUUUCCCUUCUCACAGAGCAAUGAUGAAAGCAGACAGCCAGCGAGACCCCGGGGAGCCGCGCAGUGCAGCCCAUGGCUUCUCUUCCAGCCAAGGCUGUGUGGAGCUGCGGGUCCUCACCCCCAGCUGGGCUCAGCCCACUCCUCCAUUUCCCGUUCGCUUUCUCCCAGAGCAUAUUUUCGGGACGUGGAGAUGUCCCAACCCUCCCUUCCUCCCCAGCGGUAGCGCAUCUCGGAGGGGCCACGAGGGCCGUCGCUGCCGGUCCUGCUCUUCUCGUAAAGCACAGCGAGCUUCUGGCCAGCAGCAGCCAUGCAAUUUCAGAGAUUGAGCAAAUUCCCCCUCCCACCCACUGAGGACCUCCCGGGACCGGCGCACAUCCCACCACAGGCAGCAGCCACCUCGGCCAGCCGCCCAUUGCUGCAACGGCUUGAGUCAAUUGAGACCAUUUCUCAUGCAACCCAUCCAUACCGGAGGUCCCCAGGAGGAGGGUUGGCUCAGGAAAACCUUCAGCCCCAAACCCAGCACUCCCCCAUGCAGCUGACGGAGCACAGCUCACAGCGCAGUGACCCGAAGCGCCGCGCCGUCUGUGCCACGUCCAGCUGGCCCUUCCGCUUUGCUGGCGUGCUCCUUCCUGCUUUUAUUUUGGCUCUUUUUUGUGUGGGUUUUUUUCUUUUUUUUGGCUACGUAUGCGUGCAAGUCCAGAUGGGAGGAAAGGUCAGACUUGCUGAUGGUAAGGCCCAGGCUGAAAUCUGGGUUUGCCCUAAACCCGGGAUGGCUGUGGCUGGAUGAGCCCUGCUGGUGGGCUCAGCCAUCUGCCAGGAGAGCUGCGCCGGGCUCUGCGCUCACACGUUGGGGCUGUUGGAGCUCUGGCUCAUCUCCAUCCCGGUUCUGUCCUUGCCCACAUGCAGCUCCGCUCAUCACUGCCCACCCAAACACGCUCGGCCUCCUCUCGCUCAGCUCCUGACCUUUAUUCUCCCUUAAAUCAAUACGCAGAGCCGUGCUGCAGCAGUACCAGCACCUCCGGGGAGCCCAGGUGAUGUAUAGCAUCCAAGGAGCUGCUUCUGCUUUUGAGGCUCCCAUCCAGAUAAGCUUUUGUCUUUCCAAUCUGUCCUGUGCUGCGUGGGCCCUGCGUUCAUCCCCUCUGCUCCUGGCACUAUUGACUCCACAUUUGCUUUCAUUCUGCUGUAAAAUGAAGGCAGCUCCAGCUACAGCAGCGGUUUUAUUCUUCCUGAAUAUAAUGCCUUUAUGAAAAUAAAAUCAAAAGUGAGUUGGGACCGGAAAGGUUUAAUUAAAAAGCUUCAGGGGGGAAUAAGAAAUCUGUUAGGAAACCUCUGCGGACGUUCAGCAAGUUCUCCCUGCAGAGAAGCAGCCUGAAGGGAGCUGCAGUGUCUGCCUGUGCCCUGCUGGUGGGAAGGGAUGAGAGGUGCAGUGAAGCUGGGAGCAGCCCAGGUCAGGUGCUUGCCUUUCCCACUGCUGCACCAAAAGCAGCCAUAACCACAAAGACCCCACCUCCUAUUCCCUCAUACCCCUCGGGGAAAGGAUAGGAACUGCUUUCUUGGCCAGGCUGAAGCUGACAUCCGCCAGUCCCAAUGCCUGAUCAAUGCAAACCAAUGGACUUUUCCCAUCAGAACACGUCCUUUUUUUUCCAGCAGGAUGCCGAGUUCUCAGACAAAUGAAGGCUCCGUUUGGCAGCGGAUAGAAAACAGGAAUAUUUGUCUUUAUUCCGAGACUGAAUUUUUGUGGCUAAGCUGCACCAAAAAUACAUCUUCCCCCCCCACCUCUCCCAGACAUGAGACACCAUUGAAUGCUGAAAGCAACUCUUCCCUGCCACAAAUGGACCAAAUAAACCCAGCACGAGACCGGUGCUUAGCAGAAACCAGAUGCGCCUCUAAUGCUGUCGUCUACAGCAAGCUGCGUCUGCAAACUGAUCUUUUAUUAAUGUGUGUGCACGGGUGGGAGAGCUGGGAGAGUCCCAGCGCCGGGAGCACAACGUGCCAUCGCCCCGUGCCCAUGGGCUGCCUUAUGGCUCCCAAAGGGCAUCGCUGCGGGGUUACCCAAAGCCCCUCCGGACCCAGCAUUCGGGAUUUGCAGCAUUUGGCCUCGGUUUACCCCGAGCUGCACCAUGGAGGUGGGUUUUGGAGGGGUUCUCGGCGUGUUCUGUGGCUGCAGGAGGAGAAGGAGCUGUUAGUUGGUGCUGGCAGCUGAGAUGGGUGAGGUGAUCCAGGACGCUCCCCCCAUCCGCGUGGCUGGAUGUGCCCUCACCUGGGAGCUGGGCAGCUGUUGGAAGCACCAGAAAGGGCUUUCCCCCCCCCUGGUCUGCCCAGUUCAGGCUCUGUGUCUCUAUUUCCACGCACCUCAGGAGCAGCCACUUUCCAGAGCUCACGCAGCCUCACCAGUAGGCAAAGAGACCUGUAAAUCCUGGGAGAAAUAUGGAGAAACCACCAUUAAACAGCAGGCAGAGUCUGCGAGAGGUGUGGCAGGGCAGAGAAGCAACAAAACAGGCUUUUUCUCCCCAAUUCCCCCUCAUUUCCACACUUUCCCCAGAGGCCCUUCCAACCCAAGCUGUUCCAUGACUCUCUCUCGUGUCAUCCAUCCCACCUGGUCUGGCUCUGCAGCAGCGUUAGGUGGCGCGAGGCUCAGAGCCUUCCUCCCUCCUGGACUCCUCUUCCUCUCCCUCGGGGUGCCUGAGGAUGGAAAACAUGGGCUGAGCCUGGACCGGGCUACACUGGGAGCAUCUGAACCCAUUUGGCUUUCCAAAUGGAAGGUGCUAACUUCCACAGCAUGGCAAUGAAGGAGCUGCGCCCUCACCAUCACCCAAACCCACCUUUUCUCCAUGUUUUCCCCAUAUUUUCCCCAAGUUUUCCCCAUGUUUUCCCCAUGUUUUCCCCCAGCUCUGCUCAGCUGAAGCCCCACGAGGCUCUGCUGCAGCACAGUUUGGCCUGGAAUAUGCUGAUUUUAGCCAACACAUCUUUUUUUUUUUUUUUUCCUUUCUUUCUUUUUUCUUCUUUUUUUUUGCCAGGAAAUAAAUAAAUCAUACAAUUCCUCAUCGCUUCCUUCCAGCAUCCCUCCCUUUAUCACGGCGCGUCCUUCCCUCGGGCUUUGGAAUUGGGUCAGUGAGCAGAACCCGGCGGCAGCGGCUGCUUCCCAGCGAUGUUCAUAGAAAGCUGCUGCAGCCCCCGAGUGCUUUGGGGUGGAGGAUUCACCUUUUGGGUCCCAUCCCAUUGGUGGGAGCCGGGGCAGAGCAGGGAGCAGUGUGACGCCGUGAUUUGCACUGCUGCUCCACUUCCGCGUGGUCACCCGGUGGUGAGCAGUGGGAUCAAGGGGGAUUUGCGCCUUGGGGACCUAACAUUGGCCGCCCCCUCCAAGGUUGGGCUACCCAAACCAGCAGAGAGCCCGGAGCAGGGCUGAACCCUCCCCCACCCCAUGCACCCCAUGGCUCCUCCAGCUGUGAUGCGUCUCCUUCCCAUUGCAAGAACUGGGGGUCACUUCCAGUACCUCACUCAAAAACCAGAGGAGAAGGCUGGGACUUGCUCUGAGUCACUGGCAUGUUGUUACCAAGGACACUAAGGUUCCCAGUUUUGAAGAAGAGAUUAAUUACCCUCUGCAAAUAGACAUUUUAUCUGCAUUAAAGAGCAGCAAGAGCUGAUUCUUUUGGCGUAGCUCAUUAUGUAGCAGCAGGUAGUAUUGUGACAGAUGUAGGAAUCCAGUGGCAUUGUCACUUG